rnacentral:rRNA from 1 species
UACGUAGGUGGCAAGCGUUGUCCGGAUUUACUGGGUGUAAAGGGCGUGUAGCCGGGCUGACAAGUCAGAUGUGAAAUCCGGGGGCUCAACCCCCGAACUGCAUUUGAAACUGUUGGUCUUGAGUAUCGGAGAGGCAGGCGGAAUUCCUAGUGUAGCGGUGAAAUGCGUAGAUAUUAAGAGGAACACCAGUGGCGAAGGCGGCCUGCUGGACGACAACUGACGGUGAGGCGCGAAAGCGUGGGGAGCAAACAGG